UACGUAGGGUCCGAGCGUUGUCCGGAUUUAUUGGGCGUAAAGAGCUCGUAGGCGGUUCCGUAAGUCGGAUGUGAAAACUCAGGGCUCAACCCGGAGACGCCAUCUGAUACUGCGGUGACUGGAGUCUGGUAGGGGAACACGGAAUUCCUGGUGUAGCGGUGAAAUGCGCAGAUAUCAGGAGGAACACCGAUGGCGAAGGCAGGUCUCUGGGCCACUACUGACGCUGAGAAGCGAAAGCAUGGGGAGCGAACAGG
rnacentral:rRNA from 1 species